rnacentral:lncRNA from 10 species
GGGAUGCUGUGUGGGGAAAGGGCUGAUGGCACAGUAGGAGGUAACGGGCUCAAAACUGACCUCCUUUUUAGGGGUGAGGAAAAGACUGUCACCUCAUCUUGUGGCUUCAGAGCCCAGAAGAGAUUGUGGAGCAGCGGUUAGAGACUUACGGAGGAAUUCUGAUAUUUUUAACUCUUCGGCACUUUGCUUUUCUUGAGCAAUUCCCACACCACCCCUUUUUAAAGAUUUAUUAGAUUCAGGGGCUACUUUAUAAUAUCCUUGGAGCCCAAAUUAGACUUUAAGCACAUAACAUAUCUGAGCUUGAGGAGUUUAACUUCUUCAACAAAGGAGCAAAGAGAUUUGGUGAAAUGACCCCCAUGGUCCCUAAUGCUGAUGGACCCACCGAAGUUAGCCUGUCACCAGAAGCAAAGGGAUACUAUUUUUAAGAUAUGAGGAUCUUUUCCACAUUUCUGUUCAAAGCAGUAACUUUGCAGCUUCAUCUAUUGAAGGCCUCAUCUCCACCUGCUUUUCCUACCCUGGAUUCACAGGGCUUGUGGUGCCCUCUCCCUGCCUCCACUCACCUUCCAACAAGUGCUGGAGUUUGAUUCACACCAAACAGAAAUAGCCAAAAUUUGUAAGAACUCUAUUGGGCAGCUCUUCUGUAUCAAUGACUGUACAGGCUCCAAGGGCCAGAAAUAAUGAAGAUACAGCACCUAUCUCAGCGAGCUGACAGCCUUGAAGGGGGAUGAGGCUGGAAAACAAAUGACAACACAGUGUGAUAAGUUCACUGCAGACCAGGGAGAGCGACAACUUUGAGAAAGGGUGAUUGCUUUUAAACGGAAAGGAAAAGAGCUUGGGAAAUACUUCCAGAAGAAACUGACAUCUAACUUAGGGGCACUGGUAUGACCUUUAUGAUGGAGAAGAAAGUGAUUACCCCCUUUCUGCCUCUGCAGCCACAAAACAGAUCAAAACCUAUUUCAGAACAAGCUAACAGACUCUAAGAAAAUUAUGUAAGACAUGAAAGUAUGUGAAUUGUUACAGCAAUCAGAAAAGAAUUAAAAAAUUUAAAAAUGCAUUUUAGGAGCAAAGACUAAACAACAAAUAAACACAACAUGUAAUGCCCUAAGAAAAACAGAGGGUGAAAAUGAGGAAAGUUUUCUUGUGUGUUUGUUUGUCUGUUUUGGAGACAGAGUCCACUCUGUUGCCCAGGCUGGAGUGCAGAGGCACAACCUCAACUCUCUGCAACCUCCACCUCCUGGGCUCAACCAAUUCUCCUGCUUCAGCCUCCCGAGUAGCUGGGAUUACAGGCAUGCACCACCACGCCUGGCUAAUUUUUUUUUCUAUUUUUAGUUGAUAUGGGAUUUCACCAUGUUGGCCAGGCUGGUCUUGAAUUCAUGAUCUCAAGUGCUCUGCCCACCUCGGUGUCCCAAAGUGCUGGGAUUAUAGGCGUGAGCCACUGUAUGCAGCUGAUAAUGAGGAAAGUUUUAAAAGUAAAAAAGAAGUGAAAAAAAAAUAUGUCAGAAAAAGUGGAACAUAUUGAAGACAGGCAAAGGAGAUAGAACAUAGGAGGUCUCGAGGAAGAUACCAAUGCAAAGAAGAAGACUGAAUACU